UUCACAACCGAUAAGAAACUGCUUUAAAAGAGCUGAGAACCUGCCCUAGCUGCUUAAACUUCUCCAGGGGUAACAUUAAAAAGCAAUUAGUAUGACUCAGUUUGUGCUGGUUAUCACAGCCGUGAUUUGUGCGCUACUUUCACUACUCUCAGUGGUGAUUGCGCAAGAACAUGUGGACACCAAUGUGGAAAUGGAAUGCGGAUUGGAUGAGAACGGCAACUUCGCUUGUGUACCACUAGAACCUUUACCAUAAAUUUCGCUGUGAAGAAUGUCGCGUAUAGUGAAAUAAUAAAAAAAUAAUAAAAGCCGACUUUAACAAA